CUUUCUGGGCACAAAGGGAGGAACACUCUGGCUGUGGAGCUUCCUCCCCAAGACAGGGGCACUAGGACCCUGAUUCCCUCCGUUUACCGCUGAGUCUGCAUUGCCAAGCAACAGCUUGGGAACGCAGCCUGGGGCGCUUCCCUUCCCUCGGACAGAGCUCUCCUUGCGGUAGGCCUUGGUAGUUUGCAUACAAUGGGGCCCUAAGCCCUCUGCAAGUUGGCCUGGCUCCUAGGUCCAAAGGGCAGGCCAGAGCGGAGCUGAGGCUGUCAGGCUCCAGACACAUCUCCCAUACUCCUACAUCCUGCUCCUACCCGGGCGUGAACGCUAGAAGCUGGGAAGAUGGAAGUAGCUAGGACCUCUGGACUGCAGUCUCUCAUCUCUUGCUGACCUCUUGUUGACCUCUGCAGAAUCCUGGUAGGUGGGAGCUUGUUAGUUCCUUGUUCCUUAUCAGAACCUCCUGUGGUAAGUGUUUUUCUCUUCUCUGUUGCCUGGUAAGGGUGGGUGGUCAUGGGCAUCCCAAAGUUGGCUAGAAGUCAAUUAUUUAGGCAGGCUUGUGCACAGAUAUGGGAGAAGGCAAUGGCACCCCACUCCUGGAAAAUCCCAAGGAUGGAGGAGCCUGGUAGGCUGCAGUCCAUGGGGUGGCUAAGAGUCGGACACCACUGAGUGACUUCAUUUUCACUUUUCACUUUCAUGCAUAGGAGGAGGAAAUGGCAACCCACUCCAGUGUUCUUGCCUAGAGAACCCCAGGGACUGCGGGGCCUGGUGGGCUGCCAUCUAUGGCGUGGCACAGGGUCGGCCUCAACUGAACCACUUAGCAGCUGCAGCAGCAGCAGCAGCAGUGCAUAGAUAUCAAAGGGGAUGAGAACAGUCAGGUAGGAUCACAUAUGUCAUCGUGAAACAAUACUUCUCCUCUUAGCCAAAGCUAACGAAAGAUUUCUGUUCUAGGUCAACCUAGAAGAGAUCACUUAAGAGGUAAAGAAACUUAAACUCCAUUAGCAAAGGCAGUUCAACAUCUCAAGAAAACUUGUGCUAGGCACAAAACUCUUUUCUGGGGGCCUACUUUCCCUACAACCUCCUUAUCCCAUUCUGUACCCAUUCCUUUGCUUCUCCCGUCCUGAAAAUGCCACCUGUAAGACAGAACUACUUCGUUUUCCUUCUUAAAGUGUGAUUGCAUUCCAUACAUUCUUGUAAUAACAAGUCAUACAUUUCCCUUCAGCAACCAAGAACUGACUCUUAUAUUGGCAUUUGAUAGAUUGGUGAGCAUACCUAUCAGUGAUAAUAGCGCCCACCCCGCUUCCUGCAAGAACAGAACAAAACAAAACAAAACAAAAAAAUUGCUUUCUUACAUUUAAUAUGUUCGGAUGGUGCCAGUCACUAUUCAUGCAGAGUCAAAAAUCUCUUUUGUUUCUGUGUAAAAGGGAGGUCCUUUCAAGUCGUGAAUGUUUAAGAAGUUUCAUUUAUUUGGAAGUGACCUAGCUAUUCAAUACACUGUCGUCACUUAGUUUAGCACCAGGAUAGAAACUCAGGUAACCAAAACACCUGGAGGAACGAUUGUAAGUUCAGUUCAGUUCAGUUGCUCAGUCGAGUCUGACUCUUUGUGACCCCGUGGCCUGCAGGACGCCAGGCUUCCGUGUCCAUCACCAACUCCAGGGGCUUGCUCAAACUCAUGUCCAUCGAGUCAGUGAUGCCAUCCAACCAUCUUAUCCUCUGUCAUCCCCUUCUCCUCUGCCUUCAAUCAAGACUAUGAGAGGCAGAUAUUUUAGAGUAUAAUUAUUGUUAAGAGUUUAUCUAAAAGCUCAUAUCACAUUUACAUUUUUACAUUGGUUGUUGCUGUUUCCAGGUACUUUCUUGCUGACAAGCUUGUGACACAUAUAACAAUAGAGCAAUUUUUACCUCAAAAGAAACCUAGGCACUAUGAACAUGUUGUGCUUAAUGUUGUUGACUCUUAGACAUGUCUAUAGUGGAGGAGCAAAACCAAAAA